rnacentral:tRNA from 1 species
GUGGUUCUGGUCACCAACGGCCACGUCCGCCCGGUCUGGCGGGACGGGCUGAUGACCCUGCUCGUCAUGCCUGCUCCGGGCGGGCGGAUCGCGCC